GACGAACGCUGGCGGCGUGCUUAACACAUGCAAGUCGAACGGAAAGGCCCUGCUUUUGUUGGGUGCUCGAGUGGCGAACGGGUGAGUAACACGUGAGUAACCUGCCCUUGACUUUGGGAUAACUUCAGGAAACUGGGGCUAAUACCGGAUAUGAGCUCCUGCUGCAUGGUGUGGGUUGGAAAGUUUCGGCGUUUGGGGAUGGACUCGCGGCUUAUCAGCUUGUUGGUUGGGUAGUUGCUUACCAAGGCUUUGACGGGUAGCCGGCCUGAGAGGGUGACCGGCCACAUUGGGACUGAGAUACGGCCCAGAAUCCAACGGGCGGCAGUAGGGGGGAAUAUUGCAGAAUGGGCGGAAGCCUGAUGCAGCAACGCCGCGUGCGGGAUGACGGCCUUCGGGUUGUAAACCGAUUUCGCCUGUGACGAAGCGGGAGUGACGGUAGUGGGUAAAGAAGCAACGGCUAACUACGUG
rnacentral:rRNA from 1 species